UGGGGAAUAUUGCACAAUGGGCGCAAGCCUGAUGCAGCAACGCCGCGUGAACGAUGAAGGUCUUCGGAUCGUAAAGUUCUGUUGCAGGGGAAGAUAAUGACGGUACCCUGUGAGGAAGCCCCGGCUAACUACGUGCCAGCAGCCGCGGUAAUACGUAGGGGGCUAGCGUUAUCCGGAUUUACUGGGCGUAAAGGGUGCGUAGGUGGUCCUUCAAGUCGGUGGUUAAAGGCUACGGCUCAACCGUAGUAAGCCGCCGAAACUGGAGGACUUGAGUGCAGGAGAGGAAAGUGGAAUUCCCAGGGUAGCGGUGAAAUGCGUAGAUAUUGGGAGGAACACCAGUAGCGAAGGCGGCUUUCUGGACUGCAACUGACACUGAGGCACGAAAGCGUGGGUAGCAAACAGG
rnacentral:rRNA from 1 species